UAAGGACGGAGCGAGAGAUAAUCGGAAUUACUGGGCGUAAAGCGCGCGUAGGUGGUUUGGUAAGUCGGAUGUGAAAGCCCCGGGCUUAACCUGGGAACUGCAUUCGAUACUGCCUUACUGGAGUGUGGUAGAGGGUAGUGGAAUUCCAGGUGUAGCGGUGAAAUGCGUAGAUAUCUGGAGGAACAUCAGUGGCGAAGGCGGCUACCUGGACCAACACUGACACUGAGGCGCGAAAGCGUGGGGAGCAAACAGG
rnacentral:rRNA from 1 species